rnacentral:lncRNA from 1 species
CUUGAUUAAACUUUUUUAAAUACUUGAUCAUAUUUUUCACACACUGUGUUUGUUUUUUGUAUACACGAGAAACAUCUGUUUUGUACACAAUUAACAUUUUGGAAAUGCUUGAAUAACAUUUUUGAAAUGUUUUACGUACAUAAUUGUGUAUUAUGUGCAAGAUAUCCCGGGUUUUGUCCAAUUUUCAACUAAUUAUCAAGAUAACACUCUUAUUCAUAGCCUCUUUGGAUUAUUGAUGUAUAUGCAAGAAGGCAACAUGGGCACCUCACAGUUUACUCAAUUACAGCUCUUACAACCGAUUCAUAGUGUGUCAUAUAUAUCCUUCCCUCGACUUAUUACUCCCGUCCACCUCAGUCCCACCCUUCUCCAAUCAUUUAAAUUUGUAGCUCCCCUUUUCAUGCUCUCUUUGCUGUCUCCAUCCUUUUAUCUAUAAAUAGAUUGUUCAUCUAGCCUCAGUGCCUCCACUCAUCUCCUCACUAUUGCUCCAUCUUCCAUUUUGCUAACUCAUAAUUUGCCUCACCAUUCAUGACGCCCAUUAGAAUAGGAUGCACCGGGACAUACAAACUAAGAUGAAAAUGGCAUCGACACGGACUUCCAGAGUGCAUGACAGUGGCUAUGGUUCCUCGUGUUAGUUUGCCAACACCUUACUGUGCAGGGGCAGCAAAAUAGUCAUUACCUGCUACACGGACACAUGGAGAAGGUGUGAGAUCAGUAGCGACUAGGCCUAAGAAUUGUUGUGUCCACGAGAUUAAGCCGUGAUGAGGGCACCAAGUUUGUAAAAAUUCAGCUACAAGCCCGCAAUCUGGCGACAAACUCCUUGUUUCUCUCGCCGUCGACCUCCUUGUAUGUGGGCUCGUCAGGGUGCCGCAUGACUUGGUUGUCGCCAAAGGAAGAUUCCGUGUAACAGUAACACUAGGAAUCCAUAUGCAUCCAUGUACCCAUGCACGUUUGGUGGUUGUGAAGCUGCUGUUCUGCUAGAUGGCCAUCCUCUUCCUAGGAUGUUGGUGUUGAUUCUCGGACUUGACCAACCGUCCCCAUCGCCGCUGCCUUGAUGUACCAUGAGACUAUAUUGGUGGACAAUUAAUUUUCUCGUUUAACUAAUAUUAUUUUGCAUUUUACUAAUCUUUAUUUGAUAAUUUGAAAUCGAAGUGUUAGUUCGCCAAAUAAGCCGCCUUUGAUUCUCACAUCACAUGUGCUAUCAAACUCGAGGUGUACUGGUUAGUGACACAAAUUAUCGUCUUGAGAGGCUCCAACGGCUACUAAACUCUAGCCACAGCUCCAUCGCCUCCUUCUAUUGCUCCCACCAGGGUGCAUAUUUUUAAUAAUUGAUUAUAAUUUUUUUGAUAACUAUGUCGUUUUCAUUUCUCUUAUUUUCAUAUACACAUUGUAUUUUUUUUGUAUACAUUACGAACACUUUCUAUAUACACGUUUAACAUUUUGAAAUACAUGAUUAAAGUUUUAUAGAACGUAUAUUUUUUGAUAUAUAUCUUAUAUACAUCAGGUGUAUUUUAUAUAUACAAGUUUAGCGAUUUCGAAAUACAUGAUUAACAUUUUUUUGAACAUAUAUUUUUCAUGUAUAUACUUUCUCCUUACACUUUCGUAUGUUUUUUGAGUACAUCAAAAAGAUCUUUUAUAUACAUUUAAUAUAUUCAAUUACACUAAUUAUAUUCUUAUAUCUAUUUUUUCUAUACACAUUGUAGAUUUUUCGUAUAUACAACGGAAGCAUUUUUUACACACAUUUUGCAGAAACAUGAUUAAUAUUUUUUAAUAGAUACGUUUUUGAUGUCUAAUGUUUUGAUGCAAAAUUGUGAGAAAAGCGAGGAAAAGAAAAAAAAUGCCAAAGGCCUACUGUCCAAUCUUGCAGCUGCCUGAAGCGAGGAGACGUAAUGUUUCGCGUGGAAUAUCUUAUUUGACGCAUUCUUCGUCAAAACAUCACUAUUUCCAUAGGAGAAUUGAUCCAUCGUUCUGUUUGGGUUGUUCAUUUAAGCGUUUCCAGCGUUUCCGGUUUGGUCCUUCAUGAGAGGGUCGGCAAUGUCUUCACCAAACAUGUACUCCCAUGGCGUGCCCGCCCAUGAAGGGGGUACGGCCAUCUUGACUUUGUGUCUCGUCAGGACAGAAGGGAAUGCCACCGUCUCCACCUUUAUAGAUGAGGCUCUCCAUGAACACGUGGUUGGCCUCGUCUUCCGGAGUCGACAUUCUAUCAAAUAGGCUACACGCGUUCCCUAUGGUGUCAGCUGGGAGCUCGGGGGCCAUUUGUGUGCACCCCCGAAGGACGAUCCAUUGCCCACAUACAUGGCAUUGAGAUUGAUGCCCGUCGGUGUUGGCGUUGGCGUGGUAGGGGCGACCAUGCUCACCUUCAGUGUACCAGAUCCCGUAGAGUUGGACAAACAGGAGGUUUGCGGGUGGUGCCUCUAGAAGUCGUGCCCCUAUGACGUGGUGGGCAUGCAGGGCGACAUCGGCUGCUAUAGCUGGUGCUGGCCAUGCCCACAAUGGUAGUGACGAGCCCAUGCUGGACCGGGUUUAACCCCAGCAUCGGCAGGGUCUGCGUCGUGCCCUCACGGACAAGCCGUCGGGUCUUCACGGCUUCGGCCUCUCGAUUUACGGUGGCGACAAUGUUGUACGCGACCGCGGUCUCGUUCAUGGCUUCUUGGCCAUGCCCGUGGUUCAUCCUCUUCAACGAUUGGAGGGUGCGCUCCUCAGGCAUCACAACCUUCUUCUUCUUGGUCGGCGGUGGCCCUUUGCGUGCGCCCUUAGCAAAGACGGGACUGGCGGAGGCGAGGCCCAGGGCGGAUCCAGGAUUAGACCUCGCCCAGGGCGGAUCCAGGAUUAGACCUCGCCCCGGGCCUCAAGCCUGCUACAGUGUCAUUAGAGUGCUAAAUAGUGUCAAUGAUGUUGUAAUAUAUGAAGAAAUUGCUCCUGACGCCCCGGGCCCAGGCCCCCUGGCCUGGGUCCUAGCUCCGCCACUGGCGAGGCCGGCGGCGGCGGCGAGGGUCGGCGUGUCAUCGUCCAUGACGCACGUGCGAGUGGGCGGGAGGCUUUUUCGAAAUUGAAGGGAGAUGAUGCCACUAGUGGGGACAAGGCCUAUAGUCCCGGCCCGUAAGGGGCUUUAGUCCCGGUUCAUCAACCGGGACCAAAGAGGCGGGACUAAAGGCCUAACCUUUAGUCCCGGCCCUGUUCCAAGCCGGGAACAAAGGUGCUCCACGUGGGCGCCUCGGAGCGCCCUCAGGGAUAGGCUCUUUAGUCCCGGGUCUUAACACGGACCGGGACUAAAGGGUCCGUCUGUUUAUUUCAUUUGUUUGACCCAAAAAGGUACCUUUUUAUUUAUUUUUCAAAUUUUAUUUUUGAAUAUUGUCUGAUUUGUUUUUAUGUUUUAUUUCAAUUUUUAAAUCUUUGAUUUAUUUGACAAUUUAAUCACUAAUCACCCAUCCUCACUGCUCUAGCGUAGAUUACUCAUUUCAAAUCGUCUAACUUCUCGGCCGGUCACCCAUCCUUUCACUGCUUCAGCCCGAGCAAGCUUAACUUCCUGGUUUUAUCGCCCCUAUUGCCAAGUCUGCACUUGUUGUUCUCCUGACAAUAGUAAGCUAUCAAUCCUAAACAACCUAGGGUUUGAUGUCAUGUCACAUGAUUUAAUUUUUUGAAUUCAAAAAUUAUUAAAAUAAACAAAAUAAGUAAUAAUAAUAGUGAAUUUCAAUGAAAACAACCUAAUGAUUUUAAAUAAAAUUAUUUUUCUUAUUUUUGUGGAAAAAACUUCUUUUUGCCAUAACUUUUUUUACAUUUGGAAUUUUGAGCAUCUGAGAAAACUUCACGGGGCAAGCCCUAGUGAAAUCGAUUCCCAAUUUUCUCUAGUUUUUUUUUGAUAUAUUAAACUUUUUUUUGACGUCGUAUGCAAAAGUUAUGGCCGUUUUACAUUUUUCCCUUUUUUGAAAAAACGGUCAAAAUUCAUAUUUCAAAAUUUGUAUACCAACUAGGCACUAAAACCUAACUACAUCUCAAAGGAUUUUAUUUUUUGAAGAUUUUAGCAUUUUUGUUUAUUUUCUACAAAACUAAAAAAGACGGUCCACGGAGGGUAGAGUUUGAAAAUUUCAGAAUCCCCCUUUAGCCAAGAGUCCAAUCAUACCCAUCAACUACAUUUGCUAGCACCGUCCCCGCCAGAAUCACAACUAAGGUUAACCAAGCCAGAGUUAACCCUUUCUAACUUUAUUUGCUAUGUUGAGCUAAAUAACCCUGAAAUUGAAAAGAACUAUAAUGAACUCUGAAAAUGUUGAAACUUGUCAUGGUUUCAUCCACAUAGCUUGUGCUAAAAAGUUGAGAGGGCUACGACAAAAACUGGAUGCACUUCAUGUAUAAACUAGACCAUCUCCUUCAAAGUAUCACAGUUUCGGACGAAAACCCAUCUGCUAGAAAGAUAUUUUAUUUUUUUACUUAUUUCAACUUCAGACAUUUUAUGCAUUUUGUGCAUUCAAUAUAAACCAUUCAAAACCAUAUCCUAAAUUUCGACCCUUUAUAACUUCAUUUGCUAUUUUUCAUGCAUUUAAUGAUUUUUUGACCUAAAUGACCUUGAAAUUGAAAAGCCUGACAAAUGAACUCUGAAAAGGUUGAAACUUGGCAUCGUAUCAUCAUUUAUCCCACAUAGCAUGUGCUAAAAAGUUGAGAGGUUUACGUCAAAAACUGGAUGCACUUCGUGUACAAAAUGAACAAUCUCUUUUGAAGUAUCAGGGUUUCGAAGGAAAACUCAUCUAUUGCAAAGGGAUUUCUUUUUUUAAACUUAUUUGAACUCCAUACUUUUUGUGUGUUUAAAAUACACCAUUUAAAUCCACAUUAUAAAUUUUCAAUAUUUUCUGACUUCAUUUGGUAUUUUUCAUGCAUUUACUUACUUUUUUGAGCUAAUUGACCCUGAAAUUGAAAAGCACUACAAAUGAACUCUGAAAAUGUUGAAAGUUGGCAUUGUAUCAUCAUUUCACCNNNNNNNNNNNNNNNNNNNNNNNNNNNNNNNNNNNNNNNNNNNNNNNNNNNNNNNNNNNNNNNNNNNNNNNNNNNNNNNNNNNNNNNNNNNNNNNNNNNNNNNNNNNNNNNNNACCCUGAAAUUGAAAAGUACUAGAAAUGAACUCUGAAAAGGUUGAAAGUUGGCAUGGUAUCAUACUUUCACCCACAUGGCAUGUGCUAAAAAUUUGAGAGAGUUACGAUAAAAACUGGAUGCACUUCGUGUACAAACUAGAUCAUCCUUCGAAGUAUCAAGGUUUCAGACGAAAACCCAUCUGCUACAAAGGCAUUUUAUUAAAAUGAUUUUAAUUCCCGACUUUUUAUGCAUUCAAUAUGCACCAUACUAUAACAUGUUAAAAUCUACAGAAAGUACUAACUAAAAAUAAUAAAAAACAACAAUUAAAUGACUAAAACAACUAUAUAAGCAAAACAAUGUUGUUUUAGUUAAAAUCCAAAUUUAAAUUAUUCUAAAAAUAACCAAAUAAAUCUUACUGUGAUAACAAUCUAACAGAUGACUAGGAGAAAAAAGAAUUAAAUUAAAAACUAUUUGUAAACUCAAGUUAUUCACAAUUUGGGUUUGAAGCAAAUUUGAACAAAUUCAAAUUUAAACCAUUCAAAUUUAAAAACUAAUUGCACAAACAGAAACUAAACUAAACUUUGAAUCUAAUGCAAAAAGAAUCACUCAAAAAAAAUUAAAUAUCCUAAAAGAUAUAAGCAAUUUAAAACAGAAACUACAAACAGAAAUAAAAUUUAAAAACAGGAAAAAAUAAAAAUACAAAACCCCUUUAGUCCCGGUUCGUGUCUCGAACCGGGACUAAAGGUCUAUCCUUUAGUCCCGGUUCAAGACACGAACCAGGACUAAAGCCUCCAAACCCUUUAGUCCCGGUUCGAGACACGAACCGGGACUAAAGGUCCCUUUUGAACCGGGACUAAUGACCGACCGGCGCCCUUGCCGUUCGAACCGGGACUAAUGCUAACAUUAGUCCCGGUUCGUAAUGAAACCGGGACUAAUGUGUAAAUUGAGCUGGGACGGAAGCCCCUUUUUCUACUAGUGUGACGAUGUGUCACUGACGGGUGGGCGAGGAGGCACUCACGAAUCUAGCGUUAUAGUAGAGGUAGGCUCAAAACAUCAAUUUACUAAUCAUAAUUAGCAAGUAAACUUAAAUUAUUACAUGUAAAGCACCUUGAUGUAAUUGUCAUGUGACAUAUUUAACUGAAAUACGAAUUUGGAGGAUAGGCUUCAGCCUAUUAAAGCCUCCCUACUAGAAUCGCCACUGCCAGGAGGAAGAGAAGACGGGCGGGCGUCGUGCAUCUGUUCAAAUAUGUAUGCCUGAAAUGAAUCGCGGAUGGAUAAAAAACGGACACGCAUCCGUUUAAACCGGCGCGUUAGGCUGCAAUUUAUAUCCGCGACGAUCUAAACGGACAUGCUAACGAAAUAGAUCGUCCGAUUUAAGUUGCUCUAACCAACUACGCCAUGAGAUCGUUCCUAAUUUAGUUGCAAACCCAUGCAUGCGUAUCUAUUCCAGCUAUAAUGGGCGACAUGACUAAUCCGUGUCUCCAUCGUCAACAUUAUUAAUGGACCAUCGUAUCGUAUCCCUCUUCUUGGUCGUGUGUCAUCUUGUCUGCUUGGCUAAUGGCUAUGGUUCAUAUGCACUUGCAUGAUAGAGACGCCUCAACUAAACGAUAUGCUCGCCGGCUUAACCAUGGACAGCAAAUGAUUGUCAACCCCUAACGAUAUCCCUCGUCGUAUGGUAUGCCCAACGAAAUGAACACGAGCGGAUGAAAAUGAGGUAUACAAUAUCUUUCGUUUUGCUAACUCAAUUUUACUAACCAUUCGUGAGGUCUAUUGAAAUAGGAGGCACCGAGACAUACAAAUUAAUGUGAAAAUGGCAUCCGCAUGGUGUUCCAGAGUGUAUGCAAGUGGCCAUGGUUCCUCAUGUUUGUGCGAGAGGAUCUUAUAGUGCAUGGGUGAGGAAGAUAGUCAUUACAUGGUGCACAUGCACGCGGAUCAACUGGGAGAUUCAUAGUGAUUAGGCGUCUCUAAAAAUGCACAAUUAAGUACUAUAGUAUUCAUGCCCCUUUGGGUUAUUGAUGUAUAAGCAACAAGGCAAUAUGGGCACCUCCCAGUUCACUUGAUUACAUAUUCGAUAUGCACUCUUACAACCGAUUUCCUUCGUUCCUAAAUAUAAGUCUUUUAAAAGUCUACAUACGAAAUAAAAUGAAUGAAUCUAGAUUCUAAAGUAUGUCUAUAUACAUCCGUAUGUAAUUUAAUAGUGAAACAUAUGUAAAGACUUAUAUCUAGAGACGGAGGGAGUAUAUCGUAUCCUCGACUUAUUACUCCCGUCCACCUCGGUCACACCAUUCUCCAAUCAUUGAAAUUUUCAGCUGCCUUUUGCAUGCUCUAUUUGCCAUCUCCAUCCUUGUAUGUAUAAAUAAAUUGUUACUCUAGCCUCAAUUCCUCCCUUCGUCUCCCCACUACCGCUCCAUCUUCUGUUUUGCUAACUCAUAAUUUUCCUAACCGUUCACUUGGUUCAUUGGAAUAGGAGGCACCGGGACAUGUGAAAAUUGCAUCCGCACUGACUUUCAGAGUACAUGAUAGUGGCUAUGGUUCCUCGUGUUUGUUUGUCAACAUCAUACCGUGCAGGGGGUAGCAAGAUACUCUCUCCGUCUCAAAAUUCUUAUCUUAAAUUUGUUUAGAUAUGAAUGUAUCUAGUCACGUUUUGGUAUUUAGAUACAUUCAUUUUUAGACAAACCUAAGACAAGAAUUUUGAGACGGACGGAGUAGUUGUUACCUGCUGCACAAACACCUGGGGGGGGGGGAUCAGUAACCACUAGUCUUAAGAAUUAUUAUGUGGAGAUUAAGCCGUGACGACUGCACCAAGUUCGUAAAAAUUCAGCUACAAGCCUGCGAUCUAGCGACACACUCCUUGUUUCCGUUGGUGACGGCCUCCUUGUAUGUGGGCUCGUGAGGGUACCGGACGACUUAGUUGUCGCCAAAGGUAGAUUCGAAGUAACAGUAACACUAGGAAUCCAUAUGUAUCCAUGUACCCAUGCACGUUUAGUGGUUGCAAAAUGAAAAUAUAUGUGUGUUGGACUACAAAAAUAUAGAACUUUCAACUUUGCAUUGUGAAGCCACUGUUCUGCUAGAUGACCAUGCUCUUUCUAGGCUGUUGUUGUUGAUCGUCGGACUUGACCAACCACCGCCAUCAACCCCCCCUGUUAGAAAAUGGGUCUUUCGUCCCAAGCCAAAAACCACAUUAGCCCCGGUUCAAAUUAAAACCGGGACCAAUGUCAGGCAUUGGUCCCGGUUCAGUUUGUCAGGGCAUUGAUCCCGAUUCGGUUCAUCUCAUUAGUCACGGUUCGGGGUAAAAACCAGGAUUAAAUAUCCAGUGACUGCCACGUGGCGUGUCGCGGAGCAUUAGUCCCCAUUUUUGACCAGAACCGGGACUAAAUGGUAGGCUAUUAGUCCCGGUUUUUGUUUAAAACCGGGACUAAAGUGCUGCCUAUAUAUACCCUUGCCCCUGCAACCCUCUCCUCUGUUUUUUUGCUGUUGAGGUGUGCAUGCCAUGCUCUUGCCACAAUUCUAGUUCAUGCACAUGAGGUGUUCGAUGAAAUGCCGGGGCCACACUACUUAAGCUUUCUCCUCUCCAAGCUCGACCUCCAAGCUCCUUUUUUAUUAAUAUUUGUCUAAGUUUGGCCGUGCACCAACUACACAAGUGUCCCGUGCCCGUCCUCACCGUUGUCGAUCGCUAGCGCCGAUCUCGUCGCGAGCACCACCGUGGUGAGCCUCUUGUUCUUGUCUUCUUUGUAAAAGAAAAAAAAAAUCUUACUUGUAUGAUUUAGAUAGAUACUUGUAUAAAUUGCUUACUUUCAUUAUUUUUUGUUAUUAUAUAGUGCGAUGGUUUUGGUAUCCGCCUCCGUCGGCCCUCGUCCUGUCUAUGAUUCAGAUGAGGUAUAUAUUAUCUUUUAUAACUAUUUGUUUUAUUUAGUGUUUAUGACAAUUAUUACGACCAAUGUGACAUAUAUUUUUUAAUUUAGGGGGUAUGUGAACCGGAAAUUCCAACCCACAUAGAAAUUCUAGUCGAGAAGUUAAAUUUGGCUGAAAAAGAAAACAAUUACUUGAAGAAAAAUUAAAAAUAAUUGAGGAGAAGAAUAUAGAACUGGAGUUGCAUGUUGCCGAUGUCGUCGAUGAUCGCAAGAUGAAGAUGGAUGCGAUGCGGUUGAAGAUGGAUGCAAUGCGCCUGAAGAUGGAUCAAAUGCGCUUGAAGAUUAGGAAUAUUAGAAAAUAUGCCGUGGAUAAAGAGGCUUGAUAUCAUUAUGCUAUGGGGUCAAUUGUUACCUUAGUUGCGAUUUUGAUCGCAUUUGUUGUUGCAUUUAAAUGUUUUACAUAGUUUUAUGUUGUUUUAUGAGAGAACUUUAUGUAUUUAUUUUUGCAAUAAUAACAUUUGGUCACUACUGUGCUUUGGUUUUAAUGUGAUGAUGAACUUGUAUUAAUUUGGUCAUUUUUCUAUUCAUGAUGUUCUGCAAUGGUUUUUAUAUACUUAAUUUUAUAAUACAGAUAAACCGCCAAUGGAUGUACGGUGACUAAUGCGUGAGUCACACUUAAGUUCACACAAAAUGGUAUCCUCGACCGAGGUUAGUGCUGACGUGCAACUAUUCCUGACUUGAUGCCUCCACGGCAACGGAGCCAGAAAAGAGCUCGUCCCAAUUGCUCAACAAUUAGAAAUUGUCUUGCAAUCGCCCACCAGCGCGUGGGAUUGCGGCAGUUUUCGAGGGUAGAGUAUUCAACCCAAAUUUGUUGGUUCGCGCGACGGGAAGUGAAAGAAUAUUCUCAAGUAUUAGCAGCUGAAUCUGUCAGAUUCAACCACACCUGAAAGAUUAGUGUGUGCAAGCAAAGUAUCAGGAGGAAAGUAGUAUGAUAGAAACGGUGUCAAAAACGAUCUGGUGACAAGGCAGACUAUUCCUAACUGUCGUAUCAAUGGCGUCAGAAGUUGCUCGUGGACGGGAAAUAUUCUUUUCCGGCAACGGUGCGCGAAAAAGUAUUGUAGCAGGUAGCAGCAGUGUAACGAGUAACAUCAGUGACAAGGAACAGCAGUAAUGACAGCAGUAGCAAGUAGCAAUAGUAGUAGCAACAGUAGUUGCAGCAGCAGCAGGACAAAGAAAGUGACAGUAGCAGCAAGUAACAGUAGCAGCAACAGUGGGACAAACUCGUAGGCAAUGGAUCGGUGAUUUGCUGGAUAACAUUCAUCAUGCAACAGUUAUAACACGGAGAGAUAUGUGGCUUGCUCCCAUUCGUCAAUGUGAUGUAGGCAUGCAUUCCGUGUGUCGUCAUACGUGCUUAGGGAAAAGAACUUGCAUGACAUCCGCUGAUGCAACAAAAGACCUUCCAACGGCGCCAGAAACACGUGCUGACACGAGACUAUUCUUGUCUUGAUACUCCUCAGCAACGGCACCAGGAAUCCUUCUGCUACGGCUACGCCUUUAGGGACUUCCUUGGCAAAUAUGCAAAGGAUUUCCCCCGUGGCCUUGAAGCCUUGCGUUGGUGUUUCCUCGAAGCGGAAAGGGUGAUCUAGCACAUCGGUGGUAAGUAUUUCCCUCAGUUUUGAGAACCAAGGUAUCGAUCCAGUGAAGGAAUAUCACAAGUACCUGCACAAACACAAAUAGCUUGCUCCCAACGCUAUAACGGGGUUAUCAAUCCCUUAUAGAUUGUUUGCCAAGUGAGAACUGAAAGCAACAAAGUAACAAAGCAAAGUAAAAGGGAAAGUGGAAAUGAUAGGUGUGAAUAGACCCGGGGGCCGUAGGGUUCACUAGUGGCUUCUAUCAUGAAAGCAAGUAGACGGUGGAGGAAAGAAUUACUGUCGAGCAAUUGAUAGAACCGCGCAAAGUCGUGACGUCAUCUAUGGCAAUGAUUGUAUCUAUAGGCAUCACGUCCAAAACAAGUACACCAAUACUUUCUGCAUCUACUACUAUUACUCCACACGUUGACCGCUAUCCAGCAUGCAUCUAGUGUAUUAAGUUCAUGAGAACAGAGUAACGCCUUAAGAAAGAUGACAUGAUGUAGAUGGACAAUCUCAUAUCUACGACAAAGCCCAUCUUGUUAUCCUUGAUGGCAACAACACGAUGGGUGCCUUGCUGCCCUUUCUGUCACUGGGAAAGGUCACCACACGGCAUGAACCCAAAACCAAGCACUUCUCCCAUUGCAAGAAUCAUAGAUCUAGUUGGCCAAACAAAACCCAAGACUCGGAGAGACUUACAAGGAUAUCAAAUCAUGCAUAUAAGAAAUCAGCAAAGGCACAAAUAUAUAUCAUAGAUAAUCUGAUCACAAAUCCACAAUUCAUCGAAUCUCGACAAACACACCGCCAAAGAGGAUUACAUCGGAUAGAUCUCCAUGAAGAUCAUGGAGAACUUUGUAUUGAAGAUCCAAGAGAGAGAAGAAGCCAUCUAGCUACUAACUACAGACCCGUAGGUUUGAAGUGAACUACUCUCGAGUCAUUGGAGGGGCGAUGAUGUUGAUGAAGAAGCCCUCCAACUCCAAAGUCCCCUCCGACAGGGCACCGAGAAGGGUCUCCAGAUAAGAUCUCGCGGAAACGGAAGCUUGCGGCGUUGGAAAAUUGUUUUUGUGCACGCCCUGAUUUUUUCUGGAUUUUUAGGGAAUUUAUAGGCCAAAGACCUAGGGAAGGGGAGCGCCAGGGGGGCACAAGCUUGGUUGCCGCGGCCUCCCCCCUGGCCGCGGCAACAGGGCUUGUGGGCUCCCUGUGGGCCCACUUGCUUGGCCCUCAAGCCUCCUGAUCUUCUUCCGUUCUGGAAAAAAUCAUUUUGGGGAUUUUAUUCCAUUUGGACCCCGUUCCAAAAUCAGAUCUGAAAAGAGUCAAAAACACAGAAAAAUCAGGAACUCGCACUUGGCACUGAGUUAAUAAGUUAGUCCAAAAAAAGAUAUAAAUGGUAAACAAAACAUCCAAAGUUGAGAAGAUAACAACGUGAAACCAUAAAAAAUUAUAGAUACGUUUGAGACGUAUCAAGCAUCCCCAAGCUUAACUCCUGCUCGUCCUCGAGUAGGGAAGUGAUAAAGAAUGAACUUUUGAUGCUUUCAUGCUGCCUAGCAUAGAUGUCCUUUAUAACUCCUCUUAUGUGACGUGAAUGUUCAGAUCCAUUAGAUUAAAAAAUAAUAGUUUGCUAUUAUCAUGGAAACAAUAAUACUUCAAGCAAACUAGCAAGGUAAUCAUGAACUUUCAAAAUAACAAGGCCAAAAGAAAGUUAUCCCUACAAAAUCAUAUAGUCUGGCUAUGCUCUAUCAUCAUUGCACAACGAAUUUAAAUCAUGCACGACCCCGGUAUUGGCCAAGUAAUUGUUUUCACACCUUUACUUUCUCAAACUUUUUCAACUCUCACGCAAUACAUGAGCGUGAGCCAUGGUUUUAGCACUAUAAAUGGUGUGGAGUGAGGUGGAGGUUGCAAGACAAACAAAGAGAAGAUGGUCACAUUAACUAGGCAUAUCAAUGAGCUGUGGAGAUGCUCAUCAAUAGAUAUCAAUGUGAAUGAGUAGGGAUUGCCAUACAAAUGAUGCACUAGAGCUAAGAGUAUGUGAAAGCUCUUAAAGAAAACUAGUGGGUGUGCAUCCAACUUGCUUGCUCAUGAAGACCUAAGGCAAUUUUGAGGAAGCCUGUCAUUGGAAUAUACAAGCCAAGUUAUAUAAUGAAAAUUUACCACUAGCUAUAUGGUGGUGACAAAACGAGAGACUCUCAAUCAUGAAGAUCAUGGUGAUUAAUAUGCACAAGUGUGGAAAGGUGGUAGCAUUGUCCCUUCUCUCUUUUUCUCUCAUUUUUUUUGUGUGGGCACUUUGGCCUCCAUUUUUUUAUUUUUUAUUUAUUUUGGUGGGAAUCUUUGACCUCUUUUAUUUCCUUACAUGGGACAAUGCUCCAUCAAUGAUAAUCAUCACACUUACAACUCAGAACUUUGAGCAACGAUGACUCUAUAUGGAAUGCUUUCGGUAGUGUACCAUGACAAUGAUCUAGCAUGGCAUAGACAUAAAUGGAAACAUCAUGCUAGCUAUCUUACGAUCAUGCAAUGGCAAUGUAGACGUGGUGGCACAUGUCAUGGUGGUAGUUGCAUGGCAAUAUAUCUCGGAAUGACUUUGAAAAAGCCAUAGUAGGUAGGUAUGGUGGCUGUUUUGAGGGAGGCUAAUGGUGGGUUUUGUGCACCGGCGAAAGUUGCACGACACUAUGAAGAUAGUGAUGGUGGAAGGUGAAAGUGCAUCUAAACCAUGGACUCAACAUUAGUCAUGAAGAACUCAUAUACUUGUUGCAAAAGUUUUAUUAGUAAUCGAAACAAAUCAUUCAACGCAUACUCCUAGGGGAAGGGUUGGUAGGUAUAAACCAUCGCGCGAUCCCGACCGCCACACAAAGGAUGACAAUCAAUAGACUAAUCAUGCUCAGACUUCAUCACAUAGCGGUUCACCAUACGUGCAUGCUACGGGAAUCACUAACUUCAACACAAGUAUUUCUAGAUCCACAACACCUUACUAAUAUAACUUCAAUAUUACCAUAACCACAACUCAAAACUAGUUGAGAUGAAUCAAAUUUCUCUAACUAUUCAAUGCACAUGAAGGUGGAAGUUUUCGUAUCCCUUUGGAUAACUACCCCUUUUGAGACUACUUUCAUAUAAUAGAUCAACUACCAAGCCACGCACCGCCGUUAUCUAAAAGAUAUAAGUGAAGCACACAGAGCAAAAUCAACUAGCUCAAAAGAUAUAAGUGAAGCACAUGUGAGCUGAAUUGUCUACCAAAGGAUAUAAGUGAAGCUCGACAAAAUCACGGUGAGUGCAUGUCUCUCUCUCUAGGUGUGCAGAAAGGAUGAUUGUGACACAACAAAAAUAAAAGACUCCUACGAUACAAGACGCUCCCAGCAAAACACAUAACAUGUGGUGAAUAAAAAUAUAGCCCCAAGUAACGUUACCGAUGGAUUGAAGACGAAAGAGGGGAUGCCUUCCCGGGGCAUCCCCAAGCUUAGGCUUUUACGGCAUCCAUGAAUCAUCUUGGGGUUCCUUGGGCAUCGCCAAGCUUGAUCUCUUGCCACUCUUUAUCUUUUUGUCCAUAAGAACUUCACCCAAAACUUGAAAACUUCACAACACGAAACUUAAACAGAAACUCGUGAUAACAUUAGUAUAAGAAAGCAAACCACCACUUACUUAGGUACUGUAGCAAACUUAAAUUCUACUUAUGUUUAUGUUGGGUUACUGUAUUUUUAAUCUUCCAUGGCUAAUACCCCCCGAUACUAUUCAUAGUUUCAUCAAAAUAAGCAACCAACACAACAAAAACAGAAUCUGUUAACAGCAAACCAGUAUGUAGCAAUCUGUAUACUUCGUCUACUUCUGGUACUUCAAAAAUUCUGAAACAUUACGACGGUCUGAAGAAUUUGAUUAGAAAUCAGCAGCAAAAAGAAUCAACUCAAAAGCUCUUACAGAAAAAAAAGAAAAUUCUUUUCGUGAGCAGAAAGUUUCUGUCUUUUCCAGCAUGACCAAACGAUCAUCCCCAAGACUAAUCAUAACGGUUUUGCUUGGCACAAACGCAAAAAGAAACACAAAAAAAUAAUCAUAACAGAAUUAUGAAAGUGUGGAAAACACAAAACAGGAAGAAAAAAGAUAGAUUCGUUGGGUUGCCUCCCAACAAGCGCUAUUGUUUAACGCCCCUAGCUAGGCAUUCAAUGAUGCUCUCACAAAAGACAAGAAUUGAAACACAACGAGAGUAUCCUAAAGCAUGUGUAAAUCACAUCUAAGUCUAACAUACUUUCUAUGCAUAGGCAUUUUAUAGGAAUUUUUUUUUUCAAGACAACCAAUAGCUGCCAUAUGCAAGGAAGAAGAAAGAGGCAAGAGCAAUCUCAACAUCACGAGAGGUGAUUUAGUAACAUGAAAGUUUCUACCACAAUAUUUUCCUCUCUCAUUACAUGUGGGAUCAUAUUCGAAUUCAACGAUCUAACUAUCACAUAGGAUAUUCUUUUCAUGAUCCACAUGCAUGCAAAGCUGACUCUCUUCAAAAAUAGUGGGAUUAUCAUGUAAGGUCAUGACUUAUCCAAACCCACUUUCAAUAAUAUUGCAAAUAUCAUAUUCAUCUUGAGGCUUGAACAAAUUUUCAAGAUGAAAAGAAAAAUCAUCACCCCAAUCAUGAUCUUUGCAACAAGUAGUGGACAUAGCAAGACUAGCAUCCCCAAGCUUAGGGUUUUGCAUAAUUUUAGCAUGAUUGUCACUAAUAGAAUUUAUAGUGAAACCAUUGCUAUCAUGCUUUUCAUCCAAAGAGACCUCGUGAAUCACUUCAUAAAUUUCUUCCUCGCAAUUUUGAGAUUCACGCAUCUCAAGCAAAACUCCAUAAAGAUAGUCAAGUGCAGUCAACUCACUAGCAAUUGGAUCAACAUAAUUGGAUCUCUUAAAGAGAUUAGCAAGUGGGUGAGGAUCCAUAUCGCUAGAUUUUCAGCAAUCGAAGAUGCAAGCAUAUUGAAGGCACAUGGCACACAAGCGAACACAAAGCAAGCGAGAGAAAAGGGCGAACAAAAAAGGCAAACGAAAAAGGCAAAUGUGAAGUGGGGGAGAGGAAAACGAGAGACAACUGGCAAAAAGGUAAAUGCAAGAGAUGAUUUUGUGAGACCUACUUGGAUAGAUCUCUCCUUCCCCGGCAACGGCACCAGAAAUACUUCUGCUGAUGCAACAAAAGAACUUCCAACGGGAGACUAUUCUUGUCUUGAUAUUCCUUAGCAACGGCACCAGGAAUCCUUGUGCUACGGCUACGCCUUUAGGGACUUCCUUGGCAAAUAUGCAAAGGAUUUCCCCCGUGGCCUUGGAGACUUGCGUUGGUGUUCCCUCGAAGCGGAAAGGGUGAUGUAGCACAGCGGUGGUAAGUAUUUCCCUCAGUUUUGAGAACCAAGGUAUUGAUCCAGUGAAGGAAUAUCACAAGUACCUGCACAAACACAAAGAGCUUGCUCCCAACGCUAUAAAGGGGUUGUCAAUCCCUUAUAGAUUGUUUGCCAAGUGAGAACUGAAAGCAACAAAGUAACAAAGCAAACUAAAAGGGAAAGUGGAAAGGAUAGGUGUGAAUAGACCCGGGGGCCGUAGUGUUCACUAGUGGCUUCUCUCAUGAAAGCAAGUAGACGGUGGGUGAACGAAUUACUGUCGAGCAAUUGAUAGAACCGCGCAAAGUCGUGACGUCAUCUAUGGCAAUGAUUAUAUCUAUAGGCAUCACGUCCAAAACAAGUAGACCAAUACUUUCUGCAUCUACUACUAUUACUCCACACGUCGACCGUUAUCCAGAAUGCAUAUAGUGUAUUAAGUUCAUGAGAACAGACUAACACCUUAAGCAAGAUGACAUGAUGUAGAUGGACAAUCUCAUAUCUACGACAAAGCCCAUCUUGUUACCCUUGAUGGCAACAAAGCGAUGUGUGCCUUGCUGCCCUUUCUGUCAUUGGGAAAGUUCACCACACGGUAUGAACCCAAAACCAAGCACUUCUCCCAUUGCAAGAAUCAUAGAUCUAGUUGGCCAAACAAAACCCAAGACUUGGAGAGACUUACAAGGAUAUCAAAUCAUGCAUAUAAGAAAUCAGCAAAGACUCAAAUAUAUAUCAUAGAUAAUCUGAUCACAAAUCCACAAUUCAUCAGAUCUCGACAAACACACCACCAAAGAGGAUUACAUCGGAUAGAUCUCCAUGAAGAUCAUGGAGAACUUUGUAUUGAAGAUCCAAGAGAGAGAAGAAGCCAUCUAGCUACUAACUACGGACCCGUAGGUUUGAAGUGAACUACUCACGAGUCAUUGGAGGGGCGAUAAUGUUGAUGAAGAAGCCCUCCAACUCCAAAGUCCCCUCCGACAGGGCACCGGGAAGGGUCUCCAGAUAAGAUCUCGCGGAAACAGAAGCUUGGGGCGGCGCAAAAGUGUUUUUGUGGACGCCCUGAUUUUUUCAGGAUUUUUAGGGAAUUUAUAGGCCAAAGACCUAGGGCAGGGGAGCGCCAGGGGGGCCACAAGCUUGGUUGCUGCGGCCUCCCCUGGCCGCGCCAACAGGGCUUGUGGGCUCCCUGGGGGCCCACUUGCUUGGCCCUCAAGCCUCCCGAUCUUCUUCCGUUCUGGAAAAAAUCAUUUUGGGGAUUUUAUUCCAUUUGGACUCCGUUCCAAAAUCAGAUCUGAAAAGAGUCAAAAACACAGAAAAAAUAGGAACUGGCACUUGGCACUGAGUUAAUAAGUUAGUCCAAAAAAAGAUAUAAAUGGUAAACAAAACAUCCAAAGUUGAGAAGAUAACAACGUGAAACCAUCAAAAAUUAUAGAUACGUUUGAGACGUAUCAACAUCUAUUGUCCAUCCCUCCCAUGGCAGCGGGGUUCAAAAGGAUACUACGGGAUAUUAAGGUUCUCCUUUUAAUAAAGAACCGGACCAACGCAUUAGCACUUGGUGAACACAUGAACUCCUCAAACUAUGGUCAUCACCGGGAGUGGUUCCGGUUAUUGUCACUCCGUGGUUGUGGGGUCAUAACACAUAGUAGGUAACUACACCUUGCAAGAUCGGAUCUAAAACACACAUAUAUUGGUGACAACAUAAUAAUUUCAGAUCUGAAAUCAUGGCACUCGGGCCCUAGUGACAAGCAUUAAGCAUGGAAAAGUAGUAGCAACAUCAAUCUCAGAACAUAGUGGAUACUAGGGAUCAGUCCCCGUCAAAACUAACUCAAUUACAUGAUAGAUCUCAUCCUACUCAUCACCGCCCAGCGAGCCUACGAAUAGAUUGCUCACGAACGAUGAAGAUCUUCACGGAAUUGGAGAGGGAAUAAGGUUGAUGAUGACGAUGGCGACGAUUUCUCCUCUCCGGAGCCCAAAACGGACUCCAGAUCUGCCCUCCAGAUAAAGAACAGGAUGUGGCGGCGCCUCCGUAUCGCAAACGUGAUGAAAUCUUCUCUUCUGAUUUUUUUCGAGACGAAAGGGAAUUUAUAGAGCUGAGUUUGGGGGCGACAGAGCCACGUUGGCCCCACAAGCUUGUUUGCCGCGGCCAGGGGGCGCGGCAACAGGGCUUGUGGCCCACUGGCCCGUCCCNNNNNNNNNNNNNNNNNNNNNNNNNNNNNNNNNNNNNNNNNNNNNNNNNNNNNNNNNNNNNNNNNNNNNNNNNNNNNNNNNNNNNNNNNNNNNNNNNNNNCCCACUGGCCCGUCCCCUCAGGUGGAUCUUUGCGCAGGUAUUUUUCAUAUUUUCCAGAAAUAUUCUCCGUAAAUUUUCAGGAUGCUUCGAGAACUUCCAUUUCUGCACAAAAACAACACCAUGUCAAUUCUGCUGAAAACAACGUGAGUCCGGGUUAGUUCCAAUCAAAUCAUGAAAAUUAGAGUCCAAAACAAGGGCAAAAGAGUUUGGAAAAGUAGAUACGAUGGAGACGUAUAAACUCCCCCAAGCUUAAAACCUUGCUUGUCCUCAAGCAACUCAGUUGACAAACUGAAAGAGAAAGAAAAACUUUGACAAACUCUGUUUGAUCUUGUUGUUGUAACUAUGUCUAACUCAUAACCAGAAUUUCAGCAAGAUCACAAGUUAACCACAUAAGCAAGUGACACAUAGGUCUCACGGUAAACUAAUAUCAAUGGCAUAAUCAGCUAGUGAGAAAAUAAUAAUGAGUUUCAGAUACCAACAAUUCAAUCAAAACAAGCAUGAAGCAAUAUAGAUAGGUGGUAUCUCGCUAGCUCUUUCUGAGACCGCAAAACAUAAAUGCAGAGCACUUUCAAAGAUCAAGGGCUGACUAAAUAUUGUAAUUCAUAGCAACGAAGAUCCAGUCAGAGUCAUACUCAAUAUCAAUAAAAAGCAAAGCAUAAAAAUGACAGAGGUUCUCUCUAAUUGGUGCUUAAAUAAGAAGAGGAUGACUCAACAGGAAAAUAAAUAGAUAGGCCCUUCGCAGAGGGAAGCAUUGAUUUGCAGAGGUGCCAGAGUUCAAGCUUUGAAAACAGAGAUAAUAAUUUUGGGUGGCAUGCUUACAUUGUCAACGCAAUGACCAAGAGUUCUCAAUAUCUUCCAUGCUAUUCAUGCUAUAGGCGGUUCCCAAACAGAAAAGUAAAGUUUUAACUCCCCCACCACCAAUCAAUCACACUCCACGGCUAGCCCAAUCCUCGGGUACCGUCCAUACUAACAUCAAUCCGGGGGGAGUCUUGUUUUACAAUUAUGUUUUCGAUUUAAGCGUGGAACUGGGCUUUCCAAUUACCGGCCCCUUUCUCGUGAAUGACAGUGAAUAAACACUUGUCGGGGAUAACACGCCUAACAUGGAAGAUACCAAUAGCCCCCUGUCACCACAUGAGCGGUUCGGGCAUGCAAAACAGAUUAUUUCUUGAAGUUUAGAGAAUGGCACAUGCAAAUUUACUUGGAACGGCAGAUAGAUACCGCAAAUAGGUAGGUAUGGUGGACUCUCAUGAAAAAACUUUUGGGUUUAUGGAAGUGGAUGCACAAACAGUAUUCCGCUUAGUACAAGUGAAGGCUAGCAAAAGACUGGGAAGCGACCAACUAGAGAGCGACAACAGUCAUCAAGAUGCAAUGAGUUUGACUAACAUGGAGUGCAAGCAUGAACAUGAUAUAAAUCACCAUGAACACGAACAUCAUAGAGGCCAUGUUGAUUUUGUUUCAACUACAUGCAUGAACAUGCGCCAAGUCAAGCCACUUGAAUCAUUCAAAGGAGAAUACCACCCUAUCAUACUACAUCAUAAUCAUCUUGAAAUUCAUGUUGGCAUCCAAGACAAACCAUUAUAAGCUCCUAGCUAAUUAAGCAUGGCAUCAGAAACUAUGAUCUCUAAGUUGUCAUUGCAAACAUGGUUCUCUCACAACAAAGCUGAAUCUGGGAUGACAAGGUAGUCAUAUUUACAAAAAACAAAAUAGAUAGAGUUCAUACCAGUUUUUCCAGUCUCAGUUACUUCAUCAUAUAUCAUCAUUAUUGCCUUUCACUUGCACGAUUGAACGAUGUGAACAAUAAUAAGAGUGCUCGUGCAUUGGACUAAAGCUGGAAUCUGCACGCAAACACAAAGUAAUAUGGCUCUUUGAAAGCUAAACAGGUAUGCAUGCAAGAGCCACUAAACAUUGUAACCAACAUCUUCUACCUUGACCCAAAGAAAUAGAAAACUAUUUACACGGGAAAGCUCCCAACAAGCAAAAGAAGAAAGGAAAAUCUUUUUGGGUUUUCUCAAAAGGACACAAAACAAGAAAACAAGAAAACGGAAAUAAACUAGCAUGGAUAAUAGAGUGGCAAAGUGUAAACACCGGCUAACAAAGUGAAAGCAUAAGCAUGAAUGUAAAGUCAGUGAGAACACGUACUCCCCCAAGCUUAGGCUUUUGGCCUAGCUUGGGCUACUCCCAAGGCGGGAAAUAACCAGCUCCGGGAUACUCCGGAGCGGACUGUGGAUGCCACUGCUGUGUGAGCUCCUCUGGCUCCCACUGAUAAACUGGCGUCUGGUACUCGACUCGCGGCUCGGGCACGGGCACCUGUGGUUGUGCUAAGCCCCAAUAUGCAUAGAUGUCCGAGGGCAUAAUAGUGUACCUUCCUGCAUGAAGAUCGAACAAAGAAGGAGCAGGCAAAGUAAUAGUCUCUCGAGUACCCUGACAAAAUACCAGGUUAUAAAUCAUCCGUCUACUAGCAUCUCUAUCCAGAAAAUCAUGGCGAACCAUGCUAUCAUAAUCCAGAUAUUUCUCAGGAAGAAGCAUCUCUUCUUCCUCGCAAAGUCUAAUAGGUAUCUCAAAGUGUCUAGCAAGACGAGUAGCAUAGAUACCUCCAUAGACGACACCUUUGGAACAGUUUGUGUUCAACCGCUGAGCUACUAUAGAACCUAGGCUAUAAGUCUUAGUGCUAUAAAGGCCUUCACGCAAAACCGCAAGGUCUGGAGAGCUAAGUGAUCCAGCCUCCCCACGACCAAUCAAACAUUUUUCCACAAAUAAUGAGAAGUACCGAAGCACAGGAAAAUGUAUGCUAGCAAUUCUAGCGCGAGACACUCCUCUCUCCUCUCCAACAACAAUAGUACCUAUGAAAUCCUCCAAGUCCCGUGGACGAGGAUCAUGAAUAUCCCCAACAUAAGGUAAUUUGCACACAUUGCAAAAAUCUUGUAGUGUCAUGCACUGGGGGAUGUCGUAUAACAUUAACUCAACCAUGGGAGGAUUCUUCCUCGGAUAAAAGUUGAAGCUUUGAACGAAAAUAUUGGUGAGGACGAGGUAUUGUGAGCAUUUAUCUUCAACGAACGCGGUAAGACCUGCAUUCUCCACGAAGUUAUAAAAGUCUUCAUAAAGCCCGGCGGCGCGCACAAAUUCAUCACUUGGCCACUCGCACGCUCGAACUUCUGUGACUCGCGGAACCACAUACUUGGGGUGGUUCUUCUCAUCCUCCUUGGGGUUACGGCUUGAAGAGCCUCUCAAGAACCUCCUCAUCUUUUUCUUUUUCUAGCUCUAAAAAAUUCUGGAAUUUUUAGAGACUUCGAAAGAAAAGUGAAUAGAGAUUAACCCAACUCGUAGCAACUACUCCUACUAGUGCCUAGAGACUGUAUCAUGCGCUAAAACUACUUGGGACAAGCUAAAAUAAACAUUUCAAGCUCAAGAACAGGGUCACCAAGGUAGCAAGAAUACGCGAAGGAUAAAGCACUAGAGCAAAAACUAAUUGGACCAAUGGAGGAGUCACUUACCAAGGAGUAAUUUCCCCAAAAUGGUUCGGAGAAAGGUGCUUUGAGCAAGGAGAUCGAAAAUCACAGCCAAAUGAGCAAGAACAUGGGUUUGAGCUACGAAACGAUUUUUUCUAGAGGUAGAAGAACAGGAUGGGAGCUGGAAUGAGUGGAGGGGGUCCCUGUGGGCCCCACAAUCUUGCUUGCCAUGACCAGGGGGGUGGCCGCGGUGACAGGGCUUGUGGCCCACUGGUGUGGCCCCCAGGCCAGCUCUCAGCCCCACUAUUUUUCAAAUAUUCCAGAAAAAAACAUAUUUGAUUCUCAGGACCAUCGGAGAACUUUUAUUUUCGGGUACUUUUCUCCGGGACGCUAAAACAGGAAACAAGGAAAACUAAACUAAAUCUAUCAUUUUUCUUCUAAGCAACAGAAAGUGAAAGCUUAAAACAGAGGUAUGUGACUCUUUGAUUCAUCCAUUUCAUGGUCAUCGAAAGAAAUCCGUCAAUGGGGUUGAUCAAAUCCUCAUGACAAAACCUUCUCGAAUCGCAAAAGAGAAUAGAGAAUUUUCAAAUAGCUACUAAGUCACCUCAAUGGGGAUACGUAUCUCCCCAACAAGCAAAUCAUACUUCAUCUUGACACGAGGAAUAGUGCAUUUAAAGCUCCCAAUAAGAAUCGAUGAAGUUUUUUCGAUAGCAUUGAUGCAAUGUACUUGAUAUCCUUUCUUCGGAAAGUGCACGGUAUGCUCAUUACCAUUAACAUGGAAAGUGACAUUGCCUUUGUUGCAAUCUAUAACAGCCCCUUCAAUGUUUAAAAAGGGUCUUCCGAGGAUGACAGCCAUGGCAUCGUCCUCGGGAAUAUCCAAGAUAACAAAGUCUGUUAAGAUAGUGGUGUUAGCAACCACAACAGGCACAUCCUCGCAAAUGCCGAUAGGGAAAGCAGUUGAUUUGUCGGCCAUUUGCAGAGAGAUUUUAGUGGGUGUCAACUUAUCCAGUUCAAGUCUACGAUAAAGAGAGAGCGGCGUAACACUAACACCGGCUCCAAGGUCACAUAAGGCUGUUCUUACAUAGUUUCCUUUAAUGGAUUAAGGUAUAGUGGGCACUCCGGGAUCACCAAGUUUCUUAGGAGCUCCACCUUUGAAAGUGUAAUUGGCAAGCAUGGUGGAGAUCUCAAGAUCUGGUAUCUUCCGUUUAUUGGUCACGAUAUCUUUCAUGUACUUGGCAUACGGGGACAUUUUGAGCAUAUCAACUAACCGCAUCUGCAGAAAGACGGGUCUUAUCAUUUCAAUAAAGCGCUCAAAAUCCUUAUCAUCCUUUUUCUUGGAUGGCUUAGGAGGAAAGGGCAUAGGUCUCUGAACCCAUGGCUCCCUUUCUUUACCAUGCUUCCUAGCAGUGAAGUCAUUCUUAUCGUAUCUCUUAGGUUGUGGGUUAUCAGGAUUAACCGUAGGUUCAAUCUCCACAUCCUUAUCAUUGCUAGGUUGAGCAUCAUUAUGAACAUCGCUGUCCAUAUUGUCACCAGGUUCGUGUUCAU